AAGAAAUGCUGCCAAAAAACCCUCAAAAUAAACAUACAAGCAUGGACAAACAAAGCAGCGAUUUAAUCAAUUUAGCAUCAAAACCUUACAGUAGUUUUGUUUUGCUCUUUCCCCAGCAUUGCGUAAGAUUAUUGAUGAUUUCUGAACAUCUUAAGGUUGUACGCUGCUAUAUAAACAGUUGCCCCAGGUCUGAACCGGAAGUGAUCGGCGCCAUCUUGGAACCAACCUGCAGUUGCAGAGGAAAUCCUAAACAUCCUCUCCAAAUGUGAGCUUCGUUUGGAGGUUCCUCUGGUCCCGGUGGGCCGCUGGUCAUAGCGUGUUGGGGAAGUAAAGCGAACACAGCAGCAUGUUCUGACCCAGAGCCGGGAACCGCCUGAAG